rnacentral:lncRNA from 1 species
ACCAUAUUAAAUCAUAUGCAACACAUUACUUCUGGUGAGAAAUGGUGAAAUGAUUUGAUGUUAGGUAUAUUGGGGACAUUUAAAAUCUAUGCUGUCAUACCCUAGCCCUUUAAUCUUUGUCUAUUGUGGGCAUUACUGCACGGAGUAGCAAUGGCUUCUUUUUACACGUGUCUGUAUUCUCUUUCCCCCUCUCCCUCCCCACUGCAGCAUGAGCUCUACAGAAGACUCUCCUCAUUUCUGAAUUCCCCAUGGCUGUGGUGGCUGCAGAACAGCGGUGGUGCUUAUUGUGGUUUUAAUAAUCAGUACACGAGAAAAUGGACUGGGAAGAAGAUGGAAGGCAGAACAUGAGUAACUAUUUUUCCGGAAUAGCCAGAAAGGGAGAGACUCUGUCCUUUAGUGCUAUACAUUUGAGUGAUAGGUCUGUUGUGGGUAGCUGAGGCCAAGUUGGAAUGACUGAUACCUUUGAAUUCCUGUUUCUGUUCCUGUUACUUAAAAAAAAAAAUACUACAUAUGAUUUUUCUGUUAAAAAAAAUCUGCACUGUAACUGAAGACUUGGACACUGUCCUUUUUACAGAUAUUUAACUGAAACUCAGCAAAUCUGUGAGCGACCAGAGUCAUUGACCCACUGAAUGCCAGAGCCAGGUUCGUGGGAAGUUAGAGACACUGUAGCCAGGGAGAAAGCUACUUGUGUGUUUACUAGUGUACUGCACUACACAAGGCUUCUUACAUCACAAGGUUCCUGCCUCAGUUGUUUGAGUACAAUAAUAAAAUGUACAGGCCAAGACCUAGCCUUGAAGAUCCCCUAGCUAGCUGGAGGUACAGGUACAGGUACAGAAGUAGGUAUCAGUGCUUUGACGAGGUGUGAUCAUUAAUCUUCCUUGUUACCUUGCCAGAAUUUAGAGGCCUCUGGGCACAGUAUAAGUAUGUUUUCGGAGAGGUUUAAGUGAAGAGGGAAGACCAAGCCUUAGUGUGGACAGCACAAGCUCGGGUCAGGAUCCUUGACAUCAGGAAAGGGUGAGAAAGCAAACUGGGUACCAGCAUUCAUUUUUUUUUUUUCUGAUUUUUGACUAUUGACACAAUUGACCUCACAUUCAGGCUGCCAUGCCUUCCAGUCACCACGGACUGUCCUUUCUUAAAUUUGGGCCAAAAUAAAUACUUUUCCUC